GAUGAACGCUAGCGAUAGGCUUAACACAUGCAAGUCGAGGGGCAGCAUGGUCUUAGCUUGCUAAGACUGAUGGCGACCGGCGCACGGGUGCGUAACGCGUAUGCAACUUGCCUCACAGAGGGGGAUAACCCGUCGAAAGACGGACUAAUACCGCGUACACUCCAUCUUGGGCAUCCAAGGUAGAGGAAAUGAAAUUCGCUGUGAGAUAGGCAUGCGUCCCAUUAGCUAGUUGGUGAGGUAACGGCUCACCAAGGCGACGAUGGGUAGGGGAACUGAGAGGUUGAACCCCCACACUGGUACUGAGACACGGACCAGACUCCAACGGGAGGAAGCAGUGAGGAAUAUUGGUCAAUGGGCGAGAGCCUGAACCAGCCAAGUCGCGUGAAGGAUGACUGUCUUAUGGAUUGUAAACUUCUUUUAUACGGGAAUAACAAGAGUCACGUGUGACUCCCUGCAUGUACCGUAUGAAUAAGCAUCGGCUAACUCCGUG
rnacentral:rRNA from 1 species